UACGGGGGGAGCAAGCGUUGUUCGGAUUUACUGGGCGUAAAGGGCGCGUAGGUGGCGCAACAAGUCACUUGUGAAAUCUCCGGGCUUAACCCGGAGCGGCCAAGUGAUACUGUCGUGCUAGAGUGCGGAAGGGGCUACUGGAAUUCUCGGUGUAGCGGUGAAAUGCACAGAUAUAUAGAAGAACAUCAAUAACGGCGAAGGCAGUUAACUAGUCUGUUACUGACACUGAGGCACGAAAGCGUGGGGAGCAAAACGG
rnacentral:rRNA from 1 species